rnacentral:rRNA from 1 species
CCUACGGGAGGCAGCAGUGAGGAAUAUUGGUCAAUGGGCGCGAGCCUGAACCAGCCAAGUAGCGUGAAGGAUGACUGCCCUACGGGUUGUAAACUUCUUUUAUAAAGGAAUAAAGUGAGGCACGUGUGCCUUUUUGUAUGUACUUUAUGAAUAAGGCUCGGCUAACUCCGUUCCAGCAGCCGGGGGUAUACGGAGGAUUCGAGCGUUAUCCGGAUUUAUUGGGUUUAAAGGGAGCGUAGAUGGGGUGUUAAGUCAGUUGUGAAAGUUUGCGGCUCAACCGUAAAAUUGCAAUUGAUACUGGCAGCCUUGAGUACAGUUGAGGUAGGCGGAAUGCGUGGUGUAGCGGUGAAAUGCUUAGAUAUCACGAAGAACUCCGAUUGCGAAGGCAGCUUACUAAACUGCCACUGACAUUGAUGCUCGAAAGUGUGGGUAUCAAACAGGAUUAGAUACCCGUGUAGUC